AGUGCUUUCCUGCGGACGUGCGCUGCUGCCCAGCCUCAGGCUCCAGUCCUGCGCUGGCUGCUGCUGGCUGUCGUCAGCGAUGCCGCCGCCGGCCACAAGGUGUUCUGAGGAUUGUCUCUAGUUCUGGCGACGUCUUGAAAGAACUGAGUCUGAGCGAGGCAGACAGACGGCAGCAUUAGUGGUGAUGGAGCUGCACUGCUAAAUGUGGAGAUGGGAGGGGAAACACACCUGGGCUUCCACAGGGCAGGAGAAGAUCUGUCACUUGGGCAGAGCCUUUGAGUCGCACUCAGGUGAUCUCCAGGUCUACACUCUCCCACCUGUGCUCCGAGGAGAGGUGUAGACUAUCUCUUGGAUUUUGCUUGGAGGAUGUCCUUUCCGGACUCAGGACCUAGGAGAGACCAGCAGGAAACAGAACAGAGUCUACAUAGGUGAAUAUCAAAGAAUCACCUGGAGAGAUUUACAGAUGUUUGUAGCUGGAGCCUACUCACCUACAGAGACCUCCUACAGAGGGGCUCUGCCCUGGCCUUUUGGGAUUCAGAGCUGAGGCGGGACACAGAGUUCGACAAAGCCAGAAGACUGAUAAUCUCAGACCUAACUGUACUGGGAGCUGGGAGCUGGGAGCUGUUGGCUUCAGGAAACUUAACCCUCUCUUGUUUAUUCUAUGGCCGAAAACUGCUGACUUCUUUUCGCUUUAACUCUGUGCUCUGGAGAAACUUAACUCUUUGUGCUUAAAUAAGCACUGGGGGUCACUUAACUCUUUGUUACUAUUCUGUGCUUUAAUAAACGCUGAGCAUUCUUCAA
rnacentral:lncRNA from 1 species